rnacentral:rRNA from 1 species
GACGAACGCUGGCGGCGUGCUUAACACAUGCAAGUCGAACGGAAAGGCCCUGCUUUUGUGGGGUGCUCGAGUGGCGAACGGGUGAGUAACACGUGAGUAACCUGCCCUUGACUUUGGGAUAACUUCGGGAAACUGGGGCUAAUACCGGAUAGGAGCUCCUGCUGCAUGGUGGGGGUUGGAAAGUUUCGGCGGUUAGGGAUGGACUCGCGGCUUAUCAGCUUGUUGGUGGGGUAGUGGCUUACCAAGGCUUUGACGGGUAGCCGGCCUGAGAGGGUGACCGGCCACAUUGGGACUGAGAUACGGCCCAGACUCCUACGGGAGGCAGCAGUGGGGAAUAUUGCACAAUGGGCGUAAGCCUGAUGCAGCAACGCCGCGUGCGGGAUGACGGCCUUCGGGUUGUAAACCGCUUUCGCCUGUGACGAAGCGUGAGUGACGGUAAUGGGUAAAGAAGCACCGGCUAACUACGUG